UGAGCAGUGAAUAGCCGUUUUGCCCUCCAGCCCUGUUCUCUUCUCUUCGUUGGAGUCGCUGAAAGAAGGAAAACCUCUUCCCCUUCAUCGCAGCCCUCUCUCUCUCUCUAUUCCUCUCUCUCCUCCGCUGCGAACAUUUCCUUCGCUCAGAAAACCCAAUUCCAUCAUCUUUUUCUCACUGUGAGAACCGAAGCUGUGUUGGGGCCUCAAUUGGUGGCUAUGGGUGUGGUCGUGAAGAACCCAUCUGCGACAGCGUCGUUUAGGGUCCCAAAGACAUCCCCAUGGCGCGGAUCAGUUGGUGGAGGUACUGGGUUGAUGAUUGAGUAUUCGUCGAGGCCACAGAAGAAGGCCACUGCGCAUCACAGGAAGACUCGGCCUCGCAAAACGCAGCCAUGGGACGUGAAACGCAAGCCCACUGUGUACACUCUUCUGCCUCCUCUCCCUGCCGACUGGACAUUGGUCUCUUCUGCAGAUGAAGCUUCAUCUUCUUCCCCAAAAGAGCCACCCACUACUGAAUGUGAAGGAGGCUGCGUCAGAGGCAUCCCCUCGAAAUGCCCAGUUGAAUUGGAGGCGGCUUGGAUUGUGCAUCGAGUACUGAAGAGCUUGGAUUGUGCAGCAAGUACUGAAGUUGUUGUGGCACUGGAACACCAAGGAGUUUGUAAGUGAAAGGAGCUGCCAACAAAGGGCUAAUCUUCUACAAGUGGUGACUCAGAUUUUUGUUUUUUCAUCGCGCGGCACCAUUGCUAGUGUACAACUGUAGACACCAUCCACUAGAGUUAUAAUGCAGAGCUCCAUGCAUGUUCAGUAGACUGGGUACUCUGAUGAUUCCUUCAUGCAUCUGUUCACACACCGUUCCCCGCAAGCAUAAACUUUCUUAUUUAUCGGACUCAUAGGAGCCUGAUUAGGAGAUGGUGCAAGAGCUGAAAUUCGGAAGUCACUUAUUCUGUCAUCAUUAUCAUCAGCAUCUGUAUCAGUUAGAACACUUGUUGCCAAACACACUAUUAACACUACCAGUAUCACCAAACAUCUUUGUACAACCAUUCCACCCAUUUGCUCCCAACUCAAGUUCUAUACUUUUUGAAACUCAAUGUUGUGCUGUCAUUUUGAAGUUUUACCCUAGUUGUUUUAUAGGGUCUGUAAUAAUAAUAAU